rnacentral:rRNA from 1 species
AGCAGCCGCGGUAAUUCCAGCUCCAAUAGCGUAUAUUAAAGUUGUUGCAGUUAAAAAGCUCGUAGUUGAAUUUCGGGAUCAGUACGCUGGUCGUGCCUUUGGUAUGUACUGGUGUCACUGAUUCCUCCCUUCUGAAGAACCGUUAUGCCAUUUAUUUGGUGUGGCGGGGAAUCAGGACUGUUACUUUAGAAAAAAUUAGAGUGUUUGAAGCAGGCUCGUGCUUGAAUACAUUAGCAUGGAAUAAUGAAAUAGGACGUUCGAUCCUAUUUUGUUGGUUUUUAGGAUCAACGUAAUGAUUAAUAGGGAUAGUUGGGGGCAUUAGUAUUCAAUUGUCAGAGGUGAAAUUCUUGGAUUUAUUGGAGACUAACUACUGCGAAAGCAUUUGCCAAGGAUGUUUUCAUUAAUCAAGAACGA